rfam:Myotis davidii contig8795, whole genome shotgun sequence.
GAGACACUCCUAUGGAGCAAAACUUGCUUCAGUAGGGCUAUGGUGCUCACUGAGUCUGCCCCUUAAGUGAGUCACU